ACCGGCCUUCCUUCUGGAAUGCGAGUUUUCCAGGACCGCCGAGGAAAAGCUGCUAUCAUCGUCGACGAACCGGACGCCAUCUGCAUGCCAAUGGAGACCCUUACCACGGAUUUUGGAGUAUGCGCAGUAUGCGAGUAUGGGCACGUCUACAGGAUUUGCCGAGGCCGCAAAAAGAGCACGGAGAUGGUAGGCUGGUCGCAAAAUGGCGCGACUGUGCGUGUGUGCUCCUUCGCAACUUCUUUCCUGUUGCGGAGACGCAUGCACACAUUGCCAUCCCGAUCGAAGCUCCACCGGCCCUCGAAGCUUUCGAGGUUGAUGCAUGCGUCGCCAGGUUGAAGAGCAGACGCUCUCCCGGCAUGGACGGCAUCACAGGUGCCAAGCAGGUGCAAGGCAUUGUGGCGUGCCAUCCCUCAGCACAUGACAGCGAUGUAUUCCCGCUGCCUAGAGACAGGGUAUUUCCCAACGGAAUGGAAGCAUCCUAGGGUGGUACCACUCCUGAAGGGACCCGAUAAGGACCGGACCGAUCCUACCUCAUAUCGGGUAUCUGUCUGUUGCCAGUGCUGGGCAAAGUGCUUGAGGGCAUCAUGGUGAAUCGUCUGAAGGACACCAUUCCAGAUGGCUGCAGAUGGCUAUUUGGCUUUCGCCAAGGACGUUGUGUGGAGGAUGCUUGGAAACACGUCGUGAGUACUGUUUCGGCCAGCCGGUCGAAAUACGUGCUCGGAGUCUUCGUGGAUUUCAAGGGAGCCUUCGACAACGUUGAGUGGAAUGCUGUACUACGCCGCCUCCUUGAGCUGGGAUGCCGAGAAGCAAGCUUGUGGCGAAGUUUCUUCUCCGGCCGGAGUGCGAGCAUCGUCAGUAGGCAUGAAGUAGCCACUGUUCCGGUGACAAGAGGUUGCCCGCAGGGGUUGAGUUUUCUCCCGCACAUCACGGGCUUGCGUGAUAAGCUGACCGGAGUCGUAGGGGCAUUGUCGCGCGUACUGCGGGUCGACUGGGGACUCAGUCCCCGCGCAAAGCGGACAAUAUAUGCCGGACUCAUGGUGCCUCGGUUUGGUCUGUCGUGACGACGACGCAAGUGGUUGCCAGGAGGCAUCUGCUGCGACACGCCAGCAUGUCUAUGCGGCGCAGAACGCGAGGAUUGGCAGCACUUCAUAUGUGCUUCUCCCCUCUAAACAGACUUGCGAGACCUCGAUGGACUUGGAGUGCAGUACACGGAUGGCGACUGGACCUUCUCCGAUGUGACGGCUUCUCAGGAGAGAAUGCGGACUCUCGACAGGUUCGCCGGACUGGCGUUCUCCAGGCGACAGCAGCUGUUGAAUGCACAAGCGGCGCACGGGCUGGGUGGAUUCCCUAUCCAGGCCGGUCGGGGCUAAAAGGGAGGAUCGAGCUGAGUCCUUAAGAUCGGUACCACGGGUUGUUCAGUUCCAAGGCUGCACAUUGAGGUCGGCCCCCUAGUGGGAGUAUCGUGGGGCGCUAACUGGCGCAUUGUACCAGGUUCCUGCGUAUGUAGCGGUCGUGCGUGAUGGCGUGAUAUAUGUAAAUAUAUCGCACUAAUCGAGGCGAAGCUGCAAAUAAACAUUAGACGCCGUGGUUGAAAUCCCUCCCUGAGGAACCGCCACGUAAAAUAAAGCUGAGAGAUCAGAUUCAUACUAUCUAGCGAAACCACAGCCAAGGGAACGGGCGUGGAAUAAUUAGCGGGGAAAGAAGACCCUUUUGAGCUUGACUCUAAUCUGGCAGUGUAAGGAGACAUAAGAGGUGUAGCAUAAGUGGGAGAUAUUAGAUUUCGGUUUGGUAUCGACAAUGAAAUACCACUACUCUUAUUGUUUCCUUACUUACUUGAUUAAAUGGAACGUGUAUCAUUUCCUAGCCAUUAUACGGAUAUAUUUAUUAUAUCCUAUGGUAUUGGGUUUUGAUGCAAGCUUCUUGAUCAAAGUAUCACGAGUUUGUUAUAUAUCGCAAACAAAUUCUUUAAUGAGAAAAUGCUUUUAUGUAUUUUCAGUUUGAAAAUUUGGUAUAACUCCAAUUACUCAGGUAUGAUCCAAUUCAAGGACAUUGCCAGGUAGGGAGUUUGACUGUGGAGGCGGAGGUGUCCCAAGGCCAGCUCAGUGCGGACAGAAACCACACAUAGAGCAAAAGGGCACAUGCUGACUUGAUCUCGGUGUUCAGUACACACAGGGACAGCAAAAGCUCGGCCUAUCGAUUCUUUUGGUUUAAAGAGUUUUUAACAAGAGGUGUCAGAAAAGUUACCAUAGGGAUAACUGGCUUGUGGCGGCCAAGCGUUCAUAGCGACGUCGCUUUUUGAUCCUUCGAUGUCGGCUCUUCCUAUCAUUGUGAAGCAAAAUUCACCAAGCGUUGGAUUGUUCACCCACGCAAGGGAAAGUGAGCUGGGUUUAGACCGUCGUGAGACAGGUUAGUUUUACCCUACUAAUGACAAAACGUUGUUGCGACAGCAUUCCUGCGUAGUACGAGAGGAACCGCAGGUACGGAGCAAUGGCACAAUACUUGUUCGAGCGAACAGUGGUAUGACGCUACGUCCGUUGGAUUAUGCCUGAACGCCUCUAAGGUCGGAUCCGUGCUGGACUGCAAUGAUAAAUGAGGGGCAAUUUGCAUUGUAUGGCUUCUAAACCAUUAAAAGUUUAUAAUUUAUUUUAUAAACGACAAUGGAUGUGAUGCCAAUGUAAUUUGUAACAUAGUAAAUUGGGAGGAUCAUCGAUCACCUGAUGCCGCGCUAGUUGCAUAUAAAAACAUUAUUUAAUACAAUGACAAAGCC
rnacentral:rRNA from 1 species